rnacentral:rRNA from 1 species
GAUGAACGCUGGCGGCGUGCCUAACACAUGCAAGUCGAGCGAUUCUCUUCGGAGAAGAGCGGCGGACGGGUGAGUAACGCGUGGGUAACCUGCCCUGUACACACGGAUAACAUACCGAAAGGUAUGCUAAUACGAGAUAAUAUGCUUUUAUCGCAUGGUAGAAGUAUCAAAGCUUUUGCGGUACAGGAUGGACCCGCGUCUGAUUAGCUAGUUGGUAAGGUAACGGCUUACCAAGGCGACGAUCAGUAGCCGACCUGAGAGGGUGAUCGGCCACAUUGGAACUGAGACACGGUCCAAACUCCUACGGGAGGCAGCAGUGGGGAAUAUUGCACAAUGGGCGAAAGCCUGAUGCAGCAACGCCGCGUGAGCGAUGAAGGCCU